AACAUUUAAACGGCCGCGGUACCCUAACCGUGCAAAGGUAGCGUAAUCAUUUGUCUAUUAAUUGUAGACCAGUAUGAAAGGCCACAUGAGAGCCAAACUGUCUCUUGUAACCAAUCAAUUAAACUGAUCUUCUAGUACAAAAGCUAGAAUAACCAUAUAAGACCAGAAGACCCUGUGAAGCUUAAACUAACCUACUAAACAAACUAGUAGCUACUUUCGGUUGGGGCGACCUUGGAACAAAGCAAAACUUCCAAACACAAUGAGCCAUCCCUCAUAACUACYARGCMAACAAGCCAACAWAUGACCCAGUAACACUGAUAACUGAACCAAGUUACUCCAGGGAUAACAGCGCUAUCUUCUUCCAGAACCCUUAUCAAAAA
rnacentral:rRNA from 1 species